GUCCACGCCGUAAACGAUGAGUGCUGGAUGUUGGGAGGUUACCUCUCAGUGUCGUAGCUAACGCGAUAAGCACUCCGCCUGGGAGUACGGCCGCAAGGUUAACUCAAAGGAAUUGACGGGGCCCGCACAAGCGGUGGAGCAUGUGGUUUAAUUCGAAGCAACGCGAAGAACCUUACCAGCUCUUGACAUGGGAAGUUUGGGCCUGAGAGAUCGGGUCCUUCAGUUCGGCUGGCUUCCACACAGGUGCUGCAUGGCUGUCGU
rnacentral:rRNA from 1 species